AGGCCUAGAGGCGCCCUUCAAAACGAACAGCCUGGGUGCUGUGGAGGGCACGUUGAUGGCAGCAAAAGGAAGACAGGCUACUGGACAGAAAGGGACGGGUCCCAGUGAAGCCCCACCUUCAAGCCAGGGAUGGCUUCAAUCCUGGAGGCCGCGCUGUCAGUUCCGGUCGGAGUCUGUGGCCUGGAGUGAGCACUAAUGGUUCUUUUUCCAGGCCCGCCCAUGGCCACCCAUGGACCAAUCAGCAUGCACUUCCUCCCUUCUGAACCCAUAAAAACCCCGCUCCCCGGACGCAGCCGGAGUCACGCGAAGUCGGAAGUACCAGCUGCGGGAAGGAGCUGCCCACUGUGCGUCUUCUCAACUUGUUGGGACAACCUUCCUGCGGAAAGGAGAGACAACCUUCCUGCAGAAAGGAGCUACCUGCUUCAGGUCUACUGAGAGCUGUUCUGCCACUCAAUAAAGCUCUUCUCCAUCUUGCUAAGCCUCCAUUUGUCCGCAAUACCUCAUCUCCCUGGACGCAGGACAAGAACUCAGGACCCGCCUGGAGGUACUAAAAGAGCUUUAACACAAACAGGGCUGAAACACGCUCCCUUGCUUGCCACAUUGCGGGUGACGAGAAGGAGAAAAGAGCUGUGUUCCUUUGAGGAUCCCAGACCUAGGGUCUCCCUGAGCCAGGGCUGUGACACUCCCUUUGGGGUUCUAUGGUUCCUGGCAUCUUCAAGCUUCCAGGCGCCACCACCUUCGUUCCCUUCAUCCAAACAGGUGCCCACAGCAGAAUCCACAUGCCGUCCAUCUGGUCCAGCCUCACGCAGAGCCACAACUGUGCUGGCGCCUGGAGCUGCCAGCCCCACUGCAGCAGCCGGACUGACAUUCAGACGUGGAGCAAGUUGGACUGCAUAGGGACCCACCAGUGAGAUGGACGCUGUCUGUAAACGGGGAAAUUUAUGGAAAGAUGUCCUCCUGCAACUGCUGAAAAUGCAACAUGCUGCCCAGGUCCUGCUCAGACCACUGACAACUCAGAAGUUAAUACUCAGAGUGGAAAGGUGAGUAGACAGUAUUUCCUGGCAUCGAGCUCUGUGCACCAGAGACCACGCUGCAAGCAGAUAGGAGCUGACUGACCUUAAGUGACUCUCAAUCUAAUAAAGUCAAGGCCAGAAAUUUUGGUCUAGCAACACUAAAGCCAGUGAUUUGGAAUUUCAGGUAGUGUUGGGCUCGCCUGAUGCAGAGGGGCUG
rnacentral:lncRNA from 1 species